AGGGAGUAGGGGCAGUAUUAGACUUUUAUAGGAUAAGGAAAUUAUACGGGAGGGCAUGAAGCUAACAAAAUAAUUGUAAAUAAAAUUAUUGAACAGAAAAAGUGGAAGGUAACUGAGAAAACCUCAAGGAAAUAGUUGAAGAAGCAAGGAAUGUCUAAAAAGCAGUGAAACAUGAAACUUGCUUUUUUUUUUUUUUUGAAUUUACUUUUUAGGCAUGAACGCAAAGCAGAAUCCUUGGAGAUAAUGGUGAUUGUGUUGACAGGUGAGAGUAAAUAGGACACCCCCUAGGCAAGGGCACCUAUGAAUAUGAUCCCUACACGUAUGCAAGAGGACAAAAUGCCUUUAUAAAUUAUCCUUGGGGGUUCAAGCUUGGGCUUGUGAACAUGAAAAGAGAAAAUGUGCAGC
rnacentral:lncRNA from 1 species